UACACAUGCAGUCGAGCGGAUGACGGGAGCUUGCUCCUUGAUUCAGCGGCGGACGGGUGAGUAAUGCCUAGGAAUCUGCCUGGUAGUGGGGGACAACGUUUCGAAAGGAACGCUAAUACCGCAUACGUCCUACGGGAGAAAGCAGGGGACCUUCGGGCCUUGCGCUAUCAGAUGAGCCUAGGUCGGAUUAGCUAGUUGGUGGGGUAAUGGCUCACCAAGGCGACGAUCCGUAACUGGUCUGAGAGGAUGAUCAGUCACACUGGAACUGAGACACGGUCCAGACUCCUACGGGAGGCAGCAGUGGGGAAUAUUGGACAAUGGGCGAAAGCCUGAUCCAGCCAUGCCGCGUGUGUGAAGAAGGUCUUCGGAUUGUAAAGCACUUUAAGUUGGGAGGAAGGGCAGUAAGUUAAUACCUUGCUGUUUUGACGUUACCGACAGAAUAAGCACCGGCUAACUCUGUGCCAGCAGCCGCGGUAAUACAGAGGGUGCAAGCGUUAAUCGGAAUUACUGGGCGUAAAGCGCGCGUAGGUGGUUUGUUAAGUUGGAUGUGAAAGCCCCGGG
rnacentral:rRNA from 1 species